GUUUGAUCCUGGCUCAGGAUGAACGCUAGCGAUAGGCCUAACACAUGCAAGUCGAGGGGCAGCACAUGAGGUAGCAAUACCGAUGGUGGCGACCGGCGCACGGGUGAGUAACACGUAUGCAACCUGCCUCCAACUUGGGGAUAACCCGUUGAAAGACGGACUAAUACCCAAUAACACAGGGCUCCCGCAUGGGAAUAUUUGUUAAAGAAUUUCGGUUGGAGAUGGGCAUGCGUUCCAUUAGCUAGUUGGCGGGGUAACGGCCCACCAAGGCAACGAUGGAUAGGGGAACUGAGAGGUUUAUCCCCCACACUGGUACUGAGACACGGACCAGACUCCUACGGGAGGCAGCAGUGAGGAAUAUUGGUCAAUGGGCGCAAGCCUGAACCAGCCACGUCGCGUGAAGGAAGACGGCCCUACGGGUUGUAAACUUCUUUUGUAAGGGAAUAAAGUGUGGCACGCGUGCCAUUUUGCAUGUACCUUACGAAUAAGGAUCGGCUAACUCCGUGCCAGCAGCCGCGGUAAUACGGAGGAUCCGAGCGUUAUCCGGAUUUAUUGGGUUUAAAGGGUGCUCAGGCGGGCCAUUAAGUCGGCGGUGAAAUUUUGCGGCUCAACCGUAAAAGUGCCUUCGAAACUGGUGGCCUUGAGUGUGGAUGAGGUAGGCGGAAUUUGUGGUGUAGCGGUGAAAUGCAUAGAUAUCACGAGGAACUCCGAUUGCGCAGGCAGCUUACUAAGCCAUAACUGACGCUCAAGCACGAAGGCGUGGGGAUCAAACAGGAUUAGAUACCCUGGUAGUCCACGCAGUAAACGAUGAUUACUGGCUGUUUGCGAUAUACAGUAAGCGGCUGAGCGAAAGCGUUAAGUAAUCCACCUGGGGAGUACGUUCGCAAGAAUGAAACUCAAAGGAAUUGACGGGGGCCCGCACAAGCGGAGGAACAUGUGGUUUAAUUCGAUGAUACGCGAGGAACCUUACCCGGGCUUGAAAUGCACCUGAAAGGCGCGGAGACGCGUCCCCCUUCGGGCAGGU
rnacentral:rRNA from 1 species